rnacentral:pre_miRNA from 1 species
AUACUACUCCCUUCAUCCCAAAAAUCUUGUCUUAAAUUUGUCUAGAUACGGAUGUACCUAAUACUAAAAUAUGACUUGAUACAUCCGUAUUUAGACAAAUCUAAGACAAGGAUUUUGGGACGGAGGGAGUAUAUG